rnacentral:rRNA from 1 species
AACCUACGGCAGCUUAAUACAUGCAAGUCGUGGGGCAGCAGGACUGUAGCAAUACAGUUGCUGGCGACCGGCAAACGGGUGCGGAACACGUACGCAACCUACCCAUAACUGGGGAAUAGCCCGGGGAAACCCGGAUUAAUACCCCGUAACAUAAUGAGAUGGCAUCGUCUUAUUAUUAUAGCUCCGGCGGUUAUGGAUGGGCGUGCGCCUGAUUAGGUAGUUGGCGGAGUAAUAGCCCACCAAGCCUACGAUCAGUAACUGGUGUGAGAGCACGACCAGUCACACGGGCACUGAGACACGGGCCCGACUCCUACGGGAGGCAGCAGUAAGGAAUAUUGGUCAAUGGACGCAAGUCUGAACCAGCCAUGCCGCGUGAAGGAUGAAGGUCCUCUGGAUUGUAAACUUCUUUUAUAUGGGACGAAACCCUCGUUUUCUAACGGGAUUGACGGUACCAUAGGAAUAAGCACCGGCUAACUCCGUGCCAGCAGCCGCGGUAAUACGGAGGGUGCAAGCGUUAUCCGGAUUCACUGGGUUUAAAGGGUGCGUA